CCCUUAGAUGUUCUGGGCCGCACGCGUGCUACACUGAGUGGAUCAGGGGGUCAGGUUGCGCGAAAGCGUUUCCUAAUCUUUAAAUCCGCUCGUGAUGGGGAUUGACGGUUGCAAUUUUCUGUCAUGAACGAGGAAUACCUUGUAAGCGCGGGUCAUCAUCCCGCGCUGAAUACGUCCCUGCCCUUUGUACACACCGCCCGUCGCUCCUACCGAUUGAGUGGUCCGGUGAGGCUUUGGGAUCUGAGCGGAAAGAGCGUUUCGCUGUUUCUGCUCGGAAAACUCAGUCGAACCUUAUCAUUUAGAGGAAGGAGAAGUCGUAACA
rnacentral:rRNA from 1 species